rnacentral:pre_miRNA from 2 species
CCAAGAGAAAGCGUGAAGCUGCCAGCAUGAUCUAACUCUUGAAGAGCUAUGGCCGGCCGCGGGCGGGGUGGUUUUGGUUAGAUCGUGCUGUGACAGUUUCACUCUUUCCCUGU